CCUACGGGUGGCAGCAGUGGGGAAUAUUGCACAAUGGGGGAAACCCUGAUGCAGCGACGCCGCGUGAGUGAAGAAGUAUUUCGGAAUGUAAAGCUCUAUCAGCAGGGAAGAAAAAAGACGGUACUUGACUAAAAAGCCCCGGCUAACUACGUGCCAGCAGCCGCGGUAAUACGUAGGGGGCAAGCGUUAUCCGGAUUUACUGGGUGUAAAGUGAGCGUAGACGGCGCGGCAAGUCUGAAGUGAAAGGCAGGGGCUUAACCCCGGAACUGCUUUGGAAACUGCCAUGCUAGAGUGCUGGAGAGGUAAGUGGAAUUCCUAGUGUAGCGGUGAAAUGCGUAGAUAUUAGGAGGAACACCAGUGGCGAAGGCGACUUACUGGACAGUAACUGACGUUGAGGCUCGAAAGCGUGGGGAGCAAACAGGAUUAGAUACCCGUGUAGUC
rnacentral:rRNA from 1 species